UUAUUUUUGGAUUAAACUACUUCGGUUUUUAAAUAGUUUAAAACUGGGAGAAUAAACUGGUGAAACAUAUAGAAAAAACAUUAAAAAGAGACAAAAGUUGCCACUAUAAGACAAAAUUGAUAUGAAAAGAAACUUAAAUGCACAAGUAGCCAAAAAAAUAACACAAAACAAAUCAAAAUGGUGGAAAACCUGCAUAAAAACCAAACAAAUAAUGGAAAAGCAGGCAUAAAUAUUUGACAUAAUGUUCACAGAAAAAGAACCACAAAACAAAUUUACCAACCGAUUGAUUGAUUGAUUGAUUGAUUGAUUGAUUGUGACUUUUACUGUAUUAAAUCCUCUGUGAUUGUUUUCUCUCCACCUCCGUCUAUUAACCAGCAUGGAGAGCUCGACUGGUUCCCAGCUGAAACUGGGAAGGAAACAGUUGAAAAGCCAGCAGAGGCCAUUUAACACCAGUUGGACCUGAUCUGCUGACCCGUCUCUUUGGAAACGCUUUGCUUUAAUUCCUGCGCCAACUUCCUUUUCGGCAACUUCACACCUGAUAGGAACGAUGUGAGUUUUGCUGCGUUUGACCAGUUUCUUUCAUAUGGUGAUGCUGAGGCUGCAAAUCGGGAAGCACUACAUCCAGGACAAGAAAAGCUGUCAUGGUUCUCUUCCUCUGGGCUCCACUGCUGGUCAGCUGUGAAGAGGUCAAAGUGCAAGUUGACUGUAAUGACAUCCACAACGAGGACCAAAACUUCCCAGUGGAGUAAACACCAUCUAUCCAAGUAGAACUUCUUCAGUCCGUCGUCUCGUCCUUCGUGUUUACCGGUUGCUACUGGCGUCUAGCCCUGGCUUCAGCUCGGCCGUACCGCCUGGUGUUUUUGGACAUUUUGGACUGUGUUAUUCUGGACAAUCUUCAUUAAAAUCAUUUAUUCUUCACAUCCUGGGUCUCCCGC